rnacentral:rRNA from 1 species
GGUGUAGGCGGCUUGGCAAGUGUUGUGUGAAAGCCCCCGGCUCAACCGGGGAAUUGCAUGGCAAACUGCCUGGCUUGAGGUCGGUAGGGGUGCCUGGAACUCUAGGUGGAGCGGUGAAAUGCGUAGAUAUCUAGAGGAACGCCAGAGGCGAAAGCGGGGCACUGGGCCGAUUCUGACGCUGAGACCCGAAAGCGUGGGGAGCAAACA